GAUGAACGCUGGCGGCGUGCUUAACACAUGCAAGUCGAACGGGAAACCUUUUAUUGAAGCUUCGGCAGAUUUAGCUGGUUUCUAGUGGCGGACGGGUGAGUAACGCGUGGGUAACCUGCCUUAUACAGGGGGAUAACAACCAGAAAUGGUUGCUAAUACCGCAUAAGCGCACAGGACCGCAUGGUCCGGUGUGAAAAACUCCGGUGGUAUAAGAUGGACCCGCGUUGGAUUAGCUAGUUGGCAGGGUAACGGCCUACCAAGGCGACGAUCCAUAGCCGGCCGGGGAGGGCGAACGGCAACAUUGGGACUGAGACACGGCCCAGACUCCUACGGGAGGCAGCAGGGGGGAAUAUUGAACAAUGGGGGAAACCCUGAUGCAGCGACGCCGCGUGAAGGAAGAAGUAUCUCGGUAUGUAAACUUCUAUCAGCAGGGAAGAUAGUGACGGUACCUGACUAAGAAGCCCCGGCUAACUACGU
rnacentral:rRNA from 1 species